rnacentral:lncRNA from 1 species
UUUUUUUAUUGUGUGAGCAUUUUUUAUAUAAAACUUCCCCAUUGUUUGGCUUCAUUACCUAAUAAUCAAUUUUAAAAGAAAAUGGAAUAUAAAAGAAUAUUCAAAUAUCUCCAUAUAGAAUUUUGUAUUUUGCAUUCCCAACUACUAAAGAGUGUUGGAAUACUUCUUGAAGAAUAAACACAUUUAGCCCAAGGAAUAAGUAUGUAAACUCAUUUCUGUUUUCUCAGGAGAAUACUACUGUCAAUUAUAACUUCCAUGAACUUCUUAUUUUGCUCUUUGCCCUUCAAAUGAGAGGAUAUAGGAAAUCUGCUUUCUCAGUUCAUAUUGUUGUACUUCUUGUUUGCAGAAAUGUAGAUCCAUGCUGAAAUCUGUCCAUUAAGCAUUAGUUGGUAAAUUGUCAACUCAGUGUAUUUACAGUAAGACAUUUAUAUUUAAAUAGGAUUUAUCUGGUCUUCUCAAUGUGAAUGUUUCAUAUGGGAAUCUAUAAUCAACUUAUCUAAAUCUGAAUCAUUAUAUUUAGCCCUUUCUUAUGGAAUAUAUUUACUUCUUUGCAUUGUUAAAAUAUAACAUUAUUUAAAAACUUUCUGAAGAUGUGAAUUACCUUAAUGUAUGUACUUAUUAGCAUACACAGGAAUGCUAAUUAACAUUAGAAAAGUAAGCACUAGUUUCUCUUUAUCAUAGUGUGACACUGUUCUAAAUAUAAGUGACUACAAUUCAUUAUAACUUUUUGGGCAAAAAUAUUUUUUCCGAGUAAACUAUAAAUUAAGUAUGGCUAAAUACUUUUCUUCAAUGUAGGUAACUGGACUUAGAAAGCCACUCCAAGAUUUCUCAAUGGGCCUUAGGUGCUUCAUUCCACAAGUGAAUAAAAUUUUAAAUCAUUGUUAAAAACACUAGCUUUAGAAUCAUAAAGCCCUUAGAUCAGAUCUUCAUUCUAUUUUUUCCUAUCAUUGAUAUUUUGUCAAUGUCUAAUGUAUUAAGUGAGUUUAUUGUUUUUAUAUACAAGUUGUUAUUUUUGUGAUGAUAGAAAUAUCAUAUGUCUGUAUAACUAAAAAUAACGAAUUUAAAAAAAAAAAAGAAGUAUACCUGGUUAUUGAAGAAAAAUGAAUGGAAUAAUAAAAGACAAAGAAUGAAUUAAGUUUUUGAUCCCAAAUAACUAGACUUAGCCACUGUUAAUGUUUACUCCAUUAUGAAGCCAUACAUCUUUAUGUUUUUAAAGCAAUUUAAUAUCCUGAAUUCUCAGUAAACUAUAGAGGUUUUUCUAUUAGUAAAGAGAAGUCUGUAAACAUUUUAAAGAGCUACAUAAUAUUCCAUGGAAUGAUUUUAACGUAGUAUACUUGUACUAUCCCCUAAUGUUUACAGGCUCCUAAAAUUUUAGCUAUUCUAAACAAUAUUGAAAUAAAUGUUUACACAUAAAUUUUUAUCAGUACCUCUGAUUAUUUAUUUAAACAGAUUAAUAAAUUAAAACACUAGAGAAAGCAUCUUGUUAUGUAUUGCCAAACUGUUGUUCUAAUCAGUCCUCCUAAAUUAUACUCCUAACAAUAUAAUCAGG